rnacentral:rRNA from 1 species
UACGUAGGGUGCGAGCGUUAAUCGGAAUUACUGGGCGUAAAGCGUGCGCAGGCGGUUCGCCAAGUCAGGUGUGAAAUCCCCGGGCUUAACCUGGGAAUUGCGCUUGAAACUAGCGGGCUUGAGUGCGGCAGAGGGGGGUGGAAUUCCACGUGUAGCAGUGAAAUGCGUAGAUAUGCGGAGGAACACCGAUGGCGAAGGCAAUCCCCUGGGCCUGCACUGACGCUCAUGCACGAAAGCGUGGGGAGCAAACAGG